rnacentral:rRNA from 1 species
UACGGAGGGUGCAAGCGUUAUCCGGAUUUACUGGGUUUAAAGGGUGCGUAGGUGGAUAAUUAAGUCAGUGGUGAAAUCCCCGAGCUUAACUCGGAAACUGCCAUUGAUACUAUUUGUCUUGAAUUCGGUCGAGGUUGGCGGAAUGUGUCGUGUAGCGGUGAAAUGCUUAGAUAUGACACAGAACACCGAUUGCGAAGGCAGCUAGCUAGACCGACAUUGACGCUGAGGCACGAAAGCGUGGGGAUCAAACAGG